rnacentral:lncRNA from 1 species
UAUGAUAAAGAGCAUUUUUAUUGACCAAAAUGGCAUAUCUUUCUUAAUCUUCCUUCCCCCAAUGGAAUGAGCACAACAAGGUACUAAUACCACCAUCAAAAGGAAAAAAAACUAAAAGAAAAUGUGCCAAUGUACAAAUUACAUCAUAAUCUACAUUGUAUCUCUAGCAAAUCUCAUAAAUCCGUCAAGGUUGGGAGGAGGUUGUGUUGGUGGUGUGGAAAUGAAGCUUGUUCAUCACCACUUCCGGGCGAAGCCGAUUCCUCAGAAAGUUCUGAUAUCAUUUCUUCAUAUGCUUCAUCUAUCGCCGGUUGUGAUUCUGCAAUGCCAAAGUUUCUUUUUUCCGCGCGGAUCCAAUCUCUAAAAAGCACCGAUUUUUCCAAGCUCUCC